ensembl:misc_RNA Metazoa_SRP Metazoan signal recognition particle RNA
GCCGGGCAUGGUGGCUCAUGCCUGUAAUCCCAGCACUUUGGGAGGCUGAGGCGGGUGGAUCACCUGAGGUCAGGAGUUUGAGACCAGCCUGGCUAACAUGGUGAAACCCUGUCUCUA